rnacentral:rRNA from 1 species
CCCUUAGAUGUUCUGGGCCGCACGCGCGCUACACUGAUGCGUUCAACGAGUUUAGAACCUUGACUGAUAGGUCUGGGUAAUCUUUUGAAUGCGCAUCGUGCUAGGGAUAGAUGAUUGCAAUUCUUCAUCUUCAACGAGGAAUGCCUAGUAAACGCAAGUCAUCAGCUUGCAUUGAUCACGUCCCUGCCCUUUGUACACACCGCCCGUCGCUCCUACCGAUUGAAUGUUCCGAUGAAUACCAUGGACUGAGAGUAUGAAUGGGUUCGCCUAUUUCUGCUUCUCGGGAAGUGGAGUAAAUCUUAACAUUUAGAGGAAGGAGAAGUCGUAACA